rnacentral:rRNA from 1 species
AGCCGUCCUUGAAAUACCACCCUUUAAUGGCUGGUGUUCUAACGUAGACCCGUGAACCGGGUUGCGGACAGUGUCUGGUGGGUAGUUUGACUGGGGCGGUCUCCUCCUAAAGCGUAACGGAGGAGCACGAAGGUUGGCUAAUCCUGGUCGGACAUCAGGAGGUUAGUGCAAUGGCAUAAGCCAGCUUGACUGCGAGCGUGACGGCGCGAGCAGGUGCGAAAGCAGGUCAUAGUGAUCCGGUGGUUCUGAAUGGAAGGGCCAUCGCUCAACGGAUAAAAGGUACUCCGGGGAUAACAGGCUGAUACCGCCCAAGAGUUCAUAUCGACGGCGGUGUUUGGCACCUCGAUGUCGGCUCAUCACAUCCUGGGGCUGAAGUAGGUCCCAAGGGUAUGGCUGUUCGCCAUUUAAAGUGGUACGCGAGCUGGGUUUAGAACGUCGUGAGACAGUUCGGUCCCUAUCUGCCGUGGGCGCUGGAGAACUGAGGGGGGCUGCUCCUAGUACGAGAGGACCGGAGUGGACGCAUCACUGGUGUUCGGGUUGUCAUGCCAAUGGCACUGCCCGGUAGCUAAAUGCGGAAGAGAUAAGUGCUGAAAGC